rnacentral:rRNA from 1 species
UACGGGAGGCAGCAGUGGGGAAUAUUGCACAAUGGGCGCAAGCCUGAUGCAGCCAUGCCGCGUGUAUGAAAAAGGCCUUCGGGUUGUAAAGUACUUUCAGUCGUGAGGAAGGUGUUAAGGUUAAUAACCUUAGCAAUUGACGUUAGCGACAGAAGAAGCACCGGCUAACUCCGUGCCAGCAGCCGCGGUAAUACGGAGGGUGCGAGCGUUAAUCGGAAUUACUGGGCGUAAAGGGCACGCAGGCGGUUAAUUAAGUUGGAUGUGAAAUCCCCGGGCUUAACCUGGGAAUGGCAUUCAAGCUGGUUAGCUAGAGUCUUGUAGAGGGGGUAGAAUUCCAUGUGUAGCGGUGAAAUGCGUAGAGAUGUGGAGGAAUACCGGUGGCGAAGGCGGCCCCUGGGACAAAGGCUGACGCUCAUGUGCGAAAGCGUGGGGAGCGAAAC